rnacentral:lncRNA from 1 species
CUCUAUGGGUUCUUAUAAUAGCAAUGAACCUUCAUAAUCAGACUCAUUCCUUAAUUUUGCUUACUUUUUCAUGCAGCUGCAUUAAUACUACAUUGUCAAAGACAAAGACGAACAUGAGACAUGAGAUAUGAGUUUUAAAAAAAAGAGAGAAGAGCAAAAAAACAAUACAGCUAUCCAAGGAGCAAGUGCUGAGCUUGUGUAAAAACAGCUCCUAUUUUAUUAAAUAAUAGUGUUCCUGCAGGGAUGUCUGAAGUACUCUGCAAGGCUAAUUAGGACAGAUCAAUGUACACUUACCUCUCCAGAAGGCUGAAAGAUACAGACUGAAAUGUUACCAGAUAAAAUGAUGUCAUGUCUGGGAUUCGCUUCAAAAUAAUUUGAGGUGGAAGUGGAAAGUGGAAACAACAAUUAUGAAACAACCUGGCCCAUGAGAUGAUAGCUGUUGAAGGUAGGUAUAGUUAUACAAAAUUUCAUUAUACUUUUCCCUCUACUUUUCUAAUAUAUUCUGAAUUUUCAUAACAAAAAGUUAAAUACACUUAAAAGUAGACAAAUA